GGAUGAACGCUGGCUACAGGCUUAACACAUGCAAGUCGAGGGGAAACGACGGGGAAGCUUGCUUCCCCGGGCGUCGACCGGCGCACGGGUGAGUAACGCGUAUCCAACCUGCCUCUGACUGAGGGAUAACCCGUCGAAAGUCGGCCUAAUACCUCAUGGUAUCGUCUGCGGGCAUCCAACGACGAUUAAAGAUUUCAUCGGUCAGGGAUGGGGAUGCGUCUGAUUAGCUUGUUGGCGGGGUAACGGCCCACCAAGGCUACGAUCAGUAGGGGUUCUGAGAGGAAGGUCCCCCACAUUGGAACUGAGACACGGUCCAAACUCCUACGGGAGGCAGCAGUGAGGAAGAUUGGUCAAUGGGCGAGAGCCUGAACCAGCCAAGUAGCGUGCAGGAAGACGGCCCUAUGGGUUGUAAACUGCUUUUAUGCGGGGAUAAAGUGAGGGACGUGUCCCUCAUUGCAGGUACCGCAUGAUUAAGGACCGGCUAAUUCCGUG
rnacentral:rRNA from 1 species